GACUUGGAGAAACGCUACACAGGCCUUGAAGAUCUCUUCCACACUGCAGCAGCUCUGGACCCCCGUUUUAAGUCCCUGCCCUUCCUCAGUAACCAUGAUGCAGAGAGGACAUUCACAAGCAUAUCAGCAGAAGCAGCAUCCCUGCAUCACAAGGUAACGGGGGGUUCAGUUCAGAGAGGUCCAGUGCAGACUGAUCCAUGUCAGAGUGAACCUGCAAAUGGAGAUCCGGACAUCUGCAUUGAUGUACCCCAGACCCAAGAUGAGCAUAAAGAUGAUAAACCUCCUUGUAAAAAGAAGAAAAUGUCAGCCCUGGACCAGCUGUUGGGAGAAGACUUUCAAGUAAGGACGGCAUCUAGAUCUGUGAGGGACCAGGCCAAUGAAGAAGU